rnacentral:tRNA from 1 species
UAGAUGGAUGCCUUCUGGUUUGGGCGCUUAGCUGUUAACUAAGUUUUUGUAGGAUCGAGGCCUGCCUAUCUAG